rnacentral:rRNA from 1 species
GACGAACGCUGUUGGCGUGCUUAACACAUGCAAGUCGAACGGAAAGGCCCUGCUUUUGUGGGGUGCUCGAGUGGCGAACGGGUGAGUAACACGUGAGUAACCUGCCCUUGACUUUGGGAUAACUUCAGGAAACUGGGGCAAAUACCGGAUAGGAGCUCCUGCUGCAUGGUGGGGGUUGGAAAGUUUCGGCGGUUGGGGAUGGACUCGCGGCUUAUCAGCUUGUUGGUGGGGUAGUGGCUUACCAAGGCUUUGACGGGUAGCCGGCCUGAGAGGGUGACCGGCCACAUUGGGACUGAGAUACGGCCCAGACUCCUACGGGAGGCAGCAGUGGGGAAUAUUGCGCAAUGGGCGGAAGCCUGAUGCAGCAACGCCGCGUGCGGGAUGACGGCCUUCGGGUUGUAAACCGCUUUCGCCUGUGACGAAGCGUGAGUGACGGUAAUGGGUAAAGAAGCACCGGCUAACUACGUGCCAGCAGCCGCGGUGAUACGUAGGGUGCGAGCGUUGUCCGGAUUUAUUGGGCGUAAAGGGCUCGUAGGUGGUUGAUCGCGUCGGAAGUGUAAUCUUGGGACUUAACCCUGAGCGCGCUUUCGAUACGGGUUGACUUGAGGAAGGUAGGGGAGAAUGGAAUUCCUGGUGGAGCGGUGGAAUGCGCAGAUAUCAGGAGGAACACCAGUGGCGAAGGCGGUUCUCUGGGCCUUUCCUGACGCUGAGGAGCGAAAGCGUGGGGAGCGAACAGGCUUAGAUACCCUGGUAGUCCACGCUGUAAACGGUGGGUACUGGGUGUGGGGUCCAUUCCACGGGUUCCGUGCCGUAGCUAACGCUUUAAGUACCCCGCCUGGGGAGUACGGCCGCAAGGCUAAAACUCAAAGGAAUUGACGGGGCCCCGCACAAGCGGCGGAGCAUGCGGAUUAAUUCGAUGCAACGCGUAGAACCUUACCUGGGUUUGACAUGGAUCGGGAGUGCUCAGAGAUGGGUGUGCCUCUUUUGGGGUCGGUUCACAGGUGGUGCAUGGCUGUCGUCAGCUCGUGUCGUGAGAUGUUGGGUUAAGUCCCGCAACGAGCGCAACCCUUGUUCACUGUUGCCAGCACGUUAUGGUGGGGACUCAGUGGAGACCGCCGGGGUCAACUCGGAGGAAGGUGGGGAUGACGUCAAGUCAUCAUGCCCCUCAUGUCCAGGGCUUCACGCAUGCUACAAUGGCUGGUACAGAGAGUGGCGAGCCUGUGAGGGUGAGCGAAUCUCGGAAAGCCGGUCUCAGUUCGGAUUGGGGUCUGCAACUCGACCUCAUGAAGUCGGAGUCGCUAGUAAUCGCAGAUCAGCAACGCUGCGGUGAAUACGUUCCCGGG